AACCUUUUCUCCCUGGUGGAGGAACCACUUGCAUGAGAAUAAGAGGUUGUUCCCCAGGCCAUCAGACUCCAAACAGUUAUGCAACUGGAGCCUCCUGAGGAUGACCCCUUCUGCCUGGGACCCUUAGAUCAGCCUCUAGAGAAGCUUUGACUGCUGUUUCCCCAAAACAGCACCCCCUGCCAUCAGGAAGCAAGCUGAUCAAGGAGAGAAGAUAAGGCAUGGAUAUUCAGUUUAAAAUGGUAGAGAACCAUAAUAAUACCUACCUUGAAGUGAUGAUAUAAACUACAUGACACAGAGUACUUGCUUCACACAGUGUUGGAACACACAGAGCUGCCACCUGGAAAUCCCUGCUCAUCUAAGGGUUGCAUCUAGACUCUGGUAGAUUUGGGGAGGGUGGCAUUUGAGUUAUGUCCUUUCCUGAGCUGUCCCAUGCCACAGCUUGCUGCUCUGUUGUCUCCUGACAAUUGGUCUCCUUGCUGCUAUUUCCAGAAAGCUUCACACAGAAAGCUUCACACACUCCUCUCACUCCUCAGACCAUCUUUCACAUAAUAC
rnacentral:lncRNA from 1 species